CGGAAAUACUGAAGUUAUUUAUGGCCUGUCUGCCUUGCUUGUCCAUUAAUGUAAAUCUGGAUGUGGGCAAUGAUGUAAUUUGAUCCCUUUAAUUACUGCUGAAGAAACUGGACUUCCCCUGCCAUGUUUUUCACCUGGAGAUUUUUGUCUGAAGAAACUGUUUCUGUCAAUACUUGAAUGUGAUGGGGAUGAGCAGGAGGAAGAUGUGAAGUCUAAUCUCAGCAGAUGGUUGUCAAAACUGCGCAGAGUGACUGAGAAUGUAGAAAGAAAUAAGAAGAGAGUUUCCCCCAUUUUGUUUUUAUGUCAUGAAUAGUGAAUAAAUCAUACAUUAUAGACAAAUCAAAAAUCGUAAAAACUAGGUAAAAUGAAAAUAAUGAAAACAAUUUUGUUGAAAUGUAUUUUGAAGAUAAAUGUAUGUGAUUACUCAUUGACCUUAAAUGAAUGUUGAUAUGACUGAAAACAGUAAAAAUGGAUAUAUGUGUUGUAUUCAUGAAUUGAUAGUCUCAUAUUGGAGAUAUUACAAGAAUGAUUCAUGUUGACAAGAAAGGAAGAAUGUCUUUCAAGCUGUUACUUAGUUACUGACAAAUCAAGUAUGUCAAUUGGACACUAGGAUGAGCAAAGCAGACUUGUAAAACAGAUAGAUUGCUAUAAGUUUCACUUCUGAUCAUAGCUGGAAAUCUGAAUGUUAACCCAAACUUUCUCUCCUUUUACAGACUUCUUAUUCAUUGAUCUAUACUCUGUGUCUUGAUUUGUGUUGGAAAAUCAUGGAUUAGAAAUGUACUUUCUUAUUUGAAAAAUUUUCUAGAUACAGACCUGUGCUAUUUAUUUUCUGUGUGGUUGGAAUGGACAGAACAAAAAUAGACAUUUGAACUAACGAAACAGGAUAUGUCUACAAGCCUUUUUGAAUAGUGUUUGAUUGCUUUACAAUAUUUUUCUCUGUAAAUGUGCAUAUAUUAUAUUUUGAUGCUCACACAUGCAAAAGUCAUUCCUUAAUGGAUUUUUUUAUAAACAGGCUAGGACUAUGUAAGUGACUUAGUGUCACUACAGAAUGUGUUUGUGGUUAUAGGGUUACUUAACCUCUCACUUCAGCAGAAUUUAUCUGACUCACAGAAUAGAAGUACUGCAACAUGAAUUUCAAGUUAAGUGGGUGCCUUCGAGUGGUGUUAAAUCAAGGAUUUUCACUGACUCAUUAAUAAAUACACUUUACAUUAAGCACUGUUGUAUUAUAUUUAGUAUAUGUAAAAUACACAUAAUGUAAUUCUACAGUAAUUAUAAUAACAGUAAAGGAUAAAAUUACUUUAGAAACAGAUUAAACUGACUUUCUUCUGA
ensembl:lncRNA